rnacentral:rRNA from 1 species
CAGAUGCUAAUACCGAUAAAACUCGUAUCGCAUGAUACGAAGGUUAAAAGGCGCUACGGCGUCACCUAGAGAUGGAUCCGCGGUGCAUUAGUUAGUGUGGGGUAAAGGCCUACCAAGACAAUGAUGCAUAGCCGAGUUGAGAGACUGAUCGGCCACAUUGGGACUGAGACACGGCCCAAACUCCUACGGGAGGCUGCAGUAGGGAAUCUUCCACAAUGGGCGAAAGCCUGAUGGAGCAACGCCGCGUGUGUGAUGAAGGCUUUCGGGUCGUAAAGCACUGUUGUAUGGGAAGAACAGCUAGAGUAGGGAAUGACUUUAGUUUGACGGUACCAUACCAGAAAGGGACGGCUAAAUACGUG